ensembl:lncRNA
UGCUGCUAGUUGGUGGCGCUUUAACUUUGACUCCUAAUAGUUACAUAUAUGCGAUCAGCAUUAUACAACAAACAAACCAAUGAAGUUUCAUCAAAAUCAAGGAAUGUAUGUAAAUGUUAUUAGACAUUUCCUGCUUGUCAUUUUUUACCCUAAAUUCAACACCUCGCCACGGGAAAACCGUGCGAGAUAUCAAAAAUAUCUUCACGAUUUAGCAUCCCCAAUGUCUUGAGAUCAUGUUCACCGAGUUUUGUGGCAAACGGGUGGAGUUCCUCAGAGGAGUAUAUCAAAUUCCAGAGCAUGUGUUUUUCACAAAACCCUAAAUAGCAAACUUCUUGUUGGGGGAAACUUAUGACAUGCAGUGCGAAACUUGUUUGGUUUGAUGAGAUCUACAGUACAUGUGGACCGAGUUUCAUAUGUAUACGCGCAAGUAUGCAUGAUAUAUGGCCCUCAGUAUUCCAGGGGGCGCUGUAGAGCCCCUGUGCCACGCCCAUGUAUCAGUCUCUGCCCGGCCCUAAUGGCCGCAGAUUUCAAGGUGUGUGCCAAUUUUCAAGAGUUUUUGAGUAUGUUAAGGCCUCCAAAAACCCCCGGAAGGUUUAAAAAAUUUUUUUUUAAAAAUAAUAAUAAUAAUAAUUAAAGCUGCAAGCAGCGAUGAAAAGGCCCUCGCACCCGGGCUCACCACCACCCGGUGGCCAUAGGAGAUCAGUGAACGGUGGACCAUAUGCUUUUAAAAUGGUAAAUAUUUGUGCCACAUUUCCUGCUGCCAACAGGUGGCGCUAUGAUCACAACUGAACAUCGGCAUGUAAAUGUCUUCAGACCAGGACUUUUACCAAACAUGCAAUGUUUUGGGCAGAUCAGACAUUGCAUGUUUAAGUUAGUGUAAAAAAAGUAAUUUCCUGUUGCCAGCAGGUGGCGCUAAGACUAUAAAUAAAUAUUGGCCUAAAGAUGAGUUCAGGCCAGGACCCAUAUUAAACACAUGAACUUUGGGCAGACCGGAUAUUGCAUGUUUAAGUUAGUUUAAAACAAGUAAUUUCCUGUCGCCAGCAGGUGGCGGUAUGAUUAUAACUGAAAUAUUGGCCUUAAGAUCUGUUGAGACCAGGAAUCUUAUCAAACAUGUGAAGUUUAGGGCAGAUCAGACAUUUCAUGUUUAAGUUAGUUUAAAAUAAGUCAUUUCCUUUUGCCAGCAGGUGGCGCUAUAAUUAUUAUUGAAUAUUGGCUUUUAGAUGUAUUCAGGCCAGGACUCUUAUAAAACGUGUGAAGUUUGGGGCAGAUUAGGCAUUUUAUGCGUGAGUUACAACAACUUCCUGUUUCAUAGUAUUAAUAGCAUCCUUUAGCAUAUAGUAAGUGUUUCUAGCAUGUUUGAGAAAAUUUCUAGCAUGAUUAGCACACAAUGGCAUAUUUUACUGUGUUGCUAAUAGUGCAUAAGUGUAAAACAUGUCACUUCCUGUUUCCAGUAGGUAGUGCUAUAACUAUAACCAAAUAUGAGUAUGUAGAUAUCUUCAGGCCAGGACUCUAAUCAAACUUGUGAAGUUUGAGGCAGAUUGGACAUUGUAUGCACGAGUUACAGUAAUGUUCUGCAACACUGAAUUAAUAGCAUGCUUUAACACUGAGCUAAGUGUUGCUAGCAUGUUUUAGCAUGCUUCUAGAAUUUUGCCAGCCUAGUUAACACUUCUUAAUGCUUUUUAUUAUUUUUCAAGCUGUCCAUAACAGUGUUACACAUGACACUUUAUGUUGCCAGCAGGUGGCGCUAUGACUAUAACCGAAUACGGGCAUGUUGAUGUGUUCAGGACAGGACUCUUGUCAAAUAUGUGAAAUUUGGGGCAGAUCGGACAUUGCUAGCCUGAGUUACAGCAACUUCCUUUUUCACUGCAUUAGUAGCAUGCUUUACCACUUAGCUAAGUGCUACUAGCAUGUUUUAGUAUGUUUCUAACAUGUUGUCAGUAUAUUUAACACUUCCUGACACUUUUUAAUAUGUUGCUAGGAGUCCAUAACAGUGUAAAACAUGACACUUCCUGUUGCCAGUAGGUGGCGCUAUGACUAUAAUCGAAUACGGGCAUGUUGAUGUGUUCAGGCCGGGAGUCUUAUAAAAUGUGUGAAGUUUGGGGCAGAUUUGGCAUUAUAUGCAUGUUUUACAACAACUUCCUGUUUGAUAGUAUUAAUAGCAUGCUUUAGCACUUAGUAAGAUUUGCUAGAAUGUUUGAGAAUAUUUCUAGCAUGUUUAGCACACAAUGGCAUAUUUUACUGUGUUACUAAUAGUGCAUACUAGUGUAAGAGAUGUCACUUCCUGUUGCCAGUAGGUGGCACUAUAACUAUAACCAAAUAUGAGCAUGUACAUGCCUUCAGGGCAGGACUCUUAUAAAAUGUAUGAAGUUUGG